UCUACUAUCUCAAUCCACUUUCCCCUCUUUUCCUCUCAAGGCGGAAAUGGCCAGAAGUUGCUGGUGGGGAUGGGAUCCCGUGGCAGAGGGCUGGCACGUUGAGGAGGGCAUGAUGUGGCGAGGAGAUGGCCACCGGGAGGGGUCAACGGGGCGCUAGAUCUCGAGCAGAAGUAGUAGACGGCGGGGAUUGGAUCAACGGCGGUGCGGUCGUGGCAUGGUCGGGCGCACGUGAGGAGGUAGGUCGCGGAAAGGAGAUGGCCGUCGGGAGGGGUCGCGGGUGCCUGUAGCUGAUGGGAGGUGGCGGUGGUAGCUCAAUCCGGUUGCCAUAGUGUUCCUGCACAUUGAGUGAGUGAGAGUUGAGAGAGAAGGAGAAAGAGGACCAAGGAGGAAGGGAAGGAGAUGGGAGGAGGCACGACGCGACGUUGGUGCCUGCUGGGUAGAAGUGGCAGAGGCGAGACGGGCGACUGUGGGGACAAGUCAGGAGGCGGCGGAGAUGAGGUUGAGGCCCGCGGCCGCCGCCCAUAAGGUUGCGCUCAUUGUCUAGCUCCGCCCCUCUUUGGUGUCCAUGGUCAUCAGCUACGUCUCAGACACCAUCGACGCCGACAGGCACUGUGCUGGAUGGAGCGACACUCUUCAACAUGGGAGACCUGGGUUUGAUCCCAACUUCUCCCAUUUUUCUUUUUCUCCCUUUUCUCUAUGAAUUCUCAGCAUAUGGGCUGGACAAUGUUGCAAUUUCGGCCCAACAACUCUUUGUUUAACAUUUCUCUUUUCUUUUUUCGGGUAGAUUCAAAUGCUUUUCAAAAUGUUCAUAUCUUUCAAACCCUAACUCCAAAUCUAACAUGUUACAUCAUGUUAAUCAUUAUUAAAAUUAUGUUUAGGGUGCAAACUUAAUUAACAACUUCUUUAUAUGGGGUAUUUUGGAAAUGCUUGUUAUAUAUGUUUCCUACCCCAUCUCCCAUUUGAAUUGAGUAUCCAAAUCUAACAUGCUAUAUACAGAAAUCCCUCAUAAAAAUAUGUAGAUUACAAAUAUGUUAUUAUCUUGCAUGUUAAUCAUUCCUAAAAUUAUAUUUAGGAUGCAACCUUAAUCAAUACCUCCUUUAUAUGGGGUAUCUAAAAUAUGCCUACCAUAUAUAUUUUAUAUGAUAUUUUGAUGCUCUCACAAAAGAUAUUAUUGGCACCAUAGAGAAUGUUGAUUCCUACCAGGUAUCAUAUGCUCUCUAUUUCGCAUAGUGCACAAUAACUAACCCAUAUACAAUGAUGUACAAUAAACUAUUGAUACGAUAUUUAUGUAAACAAGUGGCUUAAAAUUGAUUUGCAUAUUGUUUGAAAUUGUGCCCAUAAAGAUUUUUGGAUAUACCUUGAGUACACUCGGAGAUCAUCCCACCUUUAUGUUUUGUGCAAUACCACUUAUCAUGUUGUUUGUUGUGUAGCAUCAUGAAGAUUUCAAUUGAUUGUUGAUGUCAUUGAGUGUGUGUAUGAGGGCUGUUUUUUUCUCCCGCUGCAAUGCACGAGCAUGUUUCUAGUUGCUCAUAUGGCAAUUUCAUGUGAUUUUUUUGUUCUCCAAUCCUAAGAUUUUUUAUAGAUGUCCACAAUGAACAAUUUUGUGAAUCUUCAAAUUAUAACAUGGAAAAUUCACAUAUUGACAUGGCCCAUGGCAAAAACUUUAAAUUUGCAUUUUUCUCACUUAAUAACAUGGCAGUUUAUCCUGUGUAUGUUGUUUUUCUGUUUUACCAUGGCAAUUUUAUCUUGUAUUCUACGACAAAUUCGUCGAGUAUACCAUGGCAAAAGAAUUAUUAACUAUGGCAACUUUAUUUUUUUGCACCGUGCAACAAUUUGAUAUGACAACGUACGGUGUGUUUUGCCAUGGAAACUAAAGUAUACUCUUGCCAUGGCAAUUUAAGAUGUGUUUUACCAUGGUGGUAAAUUAAGAUGUGUUUCCCAACAAUUUUGAAGUUUUUUGAAACGCCAUUUUUAACACUUGCCAUGAAAACUUCAAGAUGUGUUUCCAUCGCAAGUUUCAGAUGUUUUUUCAGUGUGUUUUGACAUGAAACUAAAAUAUACUUUUGGCCAUGGCAAUUUAAGACGUGUUUUUCCAUUGCAAAUUAAGAUGUGUUGCCAUGACAAGUUUGGAGUUGUUUCACACGCCAUUUAACACUUGCCAUGGUCACUUUAAGAUUUGUUGCCAUUUCAAGUUUAAAUGUUUUCCCCACACGCAAAUUAAAAGAGCAUGCUAUAUUUUUUCUUUUUUGCCCAUGGCAAAUUUAUUUCUAUGUCCAUGUCAUUUUUAUUGCUUGAACCAUGUAAUUUUUUUACUAACCAUGGCAACUUUAUUGUUUGCACUAUGCAAGCAAUCUGAUACGACAACUUACAGUGUGUUUUGCCAUGGCAAAUUUAAGUUGCGUUCUUACCAGGCAAAUAAAGAUGUGUUUCCACGACAAGUUUGGAGUUCUUGACAUGCCAUGGCAACUUCAAGAUGUAUUGCCAUGACAUGUUUAGAUGUGUUUUUUACAGUGUGUUUUGCCAUGAAAAGAAAUAUACUUCUGUCCAUGGCAAUUUAAAAAUGUGCUUUUCCGAAGGCAAAUUAAGAUGUGUUGCCACAAAAAGUUUGGAGUUUUUUCACACACCAUUUAACACUUGCCAUGGCAACUUUAAUAUGUGUUUCCAUGGCAAGUUUAAAUGUUUUUCCCACACGCCAAUUAUAAGACCAUGACAUUUUUUAAAUUUUUUUGCAUGGAAAAUUUACUUUUCUAACCAUGGAAAUUUUAUUUCUAUGACCAUGGAAUUUUUAUUGUUUGAAACAUGGCAAAAAAAUAUCAACUGUGGCAACUUUAUUAUUUGCACCAUAGCAUAUAUCUUUUUUCAACCAUGACAAUUAUUUUCUUUUUGUUUGGACCAUGGCUACUUUUUGUAUUUUUAGACCAUGGCAAAAUUAUUUUAUGGACCAUCGCAAAUUUAUUUUCUAUGACCAUGGAAAAUUUAUUUGUUUGUACCAUGGAAAAUUCAUACUUCAUAACAUGGCAAAAAAAGAACCAUGACAACUUUAUUGUUUGUACCAUGGCAGAUUUCUUUUUUAACCAUGGCAAUUAUUUUCUUUUUUGUUUGAACCAUGGCUAUUAUUUUUUGUAUUUUAGACCAUGGAAAAAUCAUAUUAUGGACCACGGCAAAUUUAUUUCCAUCACCAUGGCAUUUUAUGGUUUCUACCAUGGCAAAUUCAUACUUCAUACCAUGGCAAAAAUAAUUAGAAGUGUAAAACUUUGUUAGCUAAGUUUUCCAUGAUAUAUAGAACAUUUUCCAUCAUUGCUAUGGCCCAUGGAAAAAACUUUAAAUCUGCAUGUUUUCUCAUUUAAUAUCAUGUCAUUUUUUUCGUCUCUGUGUGUGUGUUGUUUUUCUGGUCUUUUUUACCAUGGCAAAAACUUUAAAUCUGCAUGUUUUUUCAUUUAAUACCAUGGCAUUUUUUCAUGUAUGUGCUUUUUUUCUGUUUUUUUACCAUGGCAACUUUAUUUUAUAUUCUAUGGCAAAUUCAUUGAGUAUACCUUGGCAAAGUUUUAAUUAUGUCGCGAACAAACCUGUGGUUGGAUGGUUAGGUGGACAGUGGUAUCCCCAGCCCACCAGGGUUCAAGUCCUGGUGCUCGCAUUUAUUCUGGAUUUAUUUCAGAAUUUCCGGCGUUGGGACGAGACGUCACCGUCGACUACGAGGCACCUACGGUGACUUCGUAAAAUCUCAAGAUGAUAUGUCGGCUCAGUCUCUCAGAGGUGCUCAUAGGGGUAGGGUGUGCAUGUGUGCGUUUAUAAGGGUGAGUUUAUGCGCGUAUAUAUGAGCGCUUGCGUCUGUACUGUGUUCAAAAAAAAGUUUUAAUUCUGUCAUGCACUUUUGUCCUUGUUUUAGCUCCUGUUGGUUGCGUGUAAGAAAAAAGCAAGUAAAUUUGCGUAUUGAAAGAUGGCAAAGUUAAAUUUUGUAGAAUUUGUUUAUACAUGUCCAAUGGCAAAUUUUGUAGAAAUCUUUUUUCUUCUAUCCUAUAUGUCCAUUUUUUGUGA